CUCCAACUGGUGGGACAACCAGAGCAACCAGGUUGCCUCUGGUCGUGGUAAUCGUGGAUUCAUUGUCUUCAACAAUGAUGACUGGAACCUGGAUGUGACCCUGAACACUGGCAUGCCCGGUGGCACCUACUGCGACGUCAUUUCUGGCCAGAAAGAAGGAAGCAGGUGCACUGGUAAGCAGAUCCAUGUCGGAGGUGAUGGCCGCGCCCACUUCAAGAUCAGCAACAGAGAUGAGGACCCCUUUGUUGCUAUUCAUGCUGAGUCCAAGCUGUAAAAACAUCAUGUACAACUUCAACAAUAAAUCUUAUGUUCAGACUUGAAUGAUGAA